rnacentral:rRNA from 1 species
CGUCGAGUGGCGAACGGGUGAGUAACACGUGGGUGAUCUGCCUUGCACUUCGGGAUAAGCUUGGGAAACUGGGUCUAAUACCGGAUAGGACAGCUGUUUAGUGUCAGUUGUGGAAAGUUUUUCGGUGCAAGAUGAGCUCGCGGCCUAUCAGCUUGUUGGUGGGUAAUGGCCUACCAAGGCGUCGACGGGUAGCCGGCCUGAGAGGGUGGACGGCCACAUUGGGACUGAGAUACGGCCCAG